CGAACGCUUCCUUCCCGCUGGUGCUGAUCCCUCUUGUUAAGUCUGCUGAUCCGUUGCGUUAUACGAUUAACAAUGCCCUGAAAAGAGACAGGUGGAGCGUUAACACAUCUUGUUGAGGACAAGUGGCUGUGACGUGAAGUUUGUGGACAUGUGGUGACCUGGUGGAUCAUACGCUGUUUCAGAAGGAAGACAGGAAAGAAGACUUGUAUAUUUAAGGAGACUUUGACACGCCCCGAAUACCUAGAAGUACAAAUCGUGCUGAAGACAAGUAACGGUGCAUGGGCGUGAGGUGCUAGAGUGAAUAGAGAGUGAUGCAAGGCUGAGAGUGGAGUGCUGGUGUGCCUCUAGCAAGACACCCAGGCACACAUGAGGUCACCGGGGUAGGGAAGAUAUGGCCCGUGAUAAUGGCUGCUCGUCUGGUUGUUGAGGUCUCCCAGUGUUCCCUCAGCGUGGCACUGUGAUAGCCUGACCAAGUGGCCUCGUCCAUAGUCAUUGCCAGGCAUCACCUCCCCUGCAUCUGUGUUCAUCCUGUAGACACAGAAGGAGGUCUGGUGUGGAUUUCUCACCACCGCCGCCGCCACCACCACCAUCGCCGCCGCUGCCGCCACCACCACCACCGCCACGCCGCCUCCACAGCACAGUAAGUGGAUGUUUUGUGUUGCCGCCACGCCGCCGCCGCCGCCGCCGCCGACAUCUCUGCCUCCGCCGCUAGUGCCGCCGAAGUCUUCUGGAUUAACGUGUGCGCUUGAUGCUAGCCAUGUAGAAGGGCGGCGCCGAGGCUGCACCGUCCCGCCCCCUGUGCCUCGCCAUGGACCCCACGCACUAUGAUGAGCUGAGACACGACACGUUCUCUAUUUACGUGCUUCCAUAAAUGCUGGUGGACUUACGACAAUGGGAAACGGGAAGUCGAGUUCUGUUCGGCUGUUGCUAUUAUGAACAUGCUGAGUGUCUCAAUUUGUUACCGCGGGCUGAGGGAGAGAGCAAGAGAAUUACACUGCCGAGACAUAGUUAUCAUUUAGGAUUUAUUAUUAUUCUUAUUAGGUGUGUGUUCUUCAUGAUCUUUUAUUAUUAUUAUUAUUAUUAUUAUUAUUAUUAUU